AAAAAAAAAGGGAAAGAAAAUGAAAAACCGAAAGAAAGAAUCAAAACUAAAGAAGAAAAUACCAAAAAAGCAAAAAAGCACAAGGGAGAAGAAAAUUUAUUAUCUCACAUACACAACCCAAAAAAUCACCUUAAAACAUACUUAUUACUACUCUGUUGUUCCAUUUUUCGAAUUGAAAUUUUCAUCACCGGUGGUGGUGAAAAUGAGAGGAGCGACGAGCUCUGGUGGUUCUGGUGAUGGUGGCAUGGCCGAUUCUGCUUCUGCUAAAAGGAAUUCCAGGAAACCCCAAUGUCAUUUUCUCUUUCUUCUCCUAUUUCCAUUAUGAUUUAUGUGUUAUUCAUGAGAUGUUGAUUGGGUCUUUUUUUUUUAACAGAAAACAAAUAUCAUAUUUUUGAAUCUGGAAUUUCAUUCCUAUCGAUAUUGUGAUUGUUCUGCAGUUUGAUUAUUAAGGUUUUGCACUGAAUUUCGUAUGUAGGUUAUAAUUGCUCGUUCUAUACAUCAACUGUUUGGCAUUGAUCAAAGAUUUUGGUUCUAUUUGUAAAAUUUGUUGUUAAUUUUGCUUAUUUACCUGCCUGCAUUACCUGUUUGGCUGGUGAUUUUAAUUCUUCUUCAUUUGUUGAAAUGUUGAUGUCUUUGGUUUCAAUAUUCAUUUACAAAUGUCAAAUUAGAAGCUGAUCCCCCCCAUCCCCCUCUUCUCCUUCUGUGGGUUUAUCCGAUGAGUAAUUUUCUUUUUCAGAGAAAAUAUUUUGUACAAUGUUUGUUCUUCUUUGAUGCAGAUUCUAGGUUCACACAACAAGAGCUUCCUGCCUGCAAACCAAUUUUAACGCCAGGAUGGGCAUGUGGUUUAUUAUUAAUUCUUUGACUUCUGUUGUGACGCUCUCUUGUUCUAUAUAUGUAUUUUAAAUAUAUUUCUUAGACUAUAUUUUAUUCAUAAUUGGUUUCAGGUCAUUGCCACAUUCGUUGGUGUUGGCAUUAUUUUCAUUCCUAUUGGUCUCAUUGCCCUGUUUGCAUCAGAACAUGUGGUGGAAAUUGUUGAUCGAUAUGACAAAGAUUGCAUUCCUCCCAACUAUUCAAAUGAUAGCCUCCAAUACAUUCAGAGCAGUAAAACGAACAAGACCUGUACCAGGACCUUAACUGUUCCAAAGCAAAUGAAAAGUCCUGUUUUUAUCUAUUAUGAGCUUGAUAACUUCUAUCAGAACCAUCGUCGAUACGUAAAAAGUCGAAGUGACAAGCAGUUGCGGAGCAAGGCAGGUGAGAGUGACACAGACAACUGUAAACCUGAAGCAGUCACAUCAACUAAUGCUCCAAUUGUUCCUUGUGGCCUUGUUGCAUGGAGUUUGUUCAAUGACACUUAUGGGUUUUCUCUUAAAAACAAGGCCUUAGAUGUCAGCAAAAAAAAUAUAGCAUGGAAAAGCGACCAAGAUUACAAAUUUGGGUCUGAUGUCUAUCCUAAAAAUUUCCAGAGUGGAGGUUUGAUUGGAGGUGCAAAGCUCAAUUCAAGCAUACCUUUGAGUGAACAAGUGGAUCUUAUUGUUUGGAUGCGUACUGCUGCACUUUCAACUUUCAGAAAACUUUAUGGAAGGAUAGAAGUGGACCUUGAAGCUAAUGAUAUAAUUACAGUUACUAUACAGAAUAAUUAUAAUACUUACAGUUUUGGGGGUAAAAAGAAGCUGGUUCUUUCAACCACGAGUUGGAUAGGAGGAAAAAAUGAUUUCCUGGGCAGAGCAUAUCUUACUGUAGGUGGAUUGUGCUUGUUCCUGGCAGUAAGCUUCUUGCUUGUAUACGUGAUCAAGCCCAGGCCUCUUGGUGACCCAGCCUAUUUGUCUUGGAAUAAGAAUCCAACAGGACAAAUGAGUUGGAACUCUUAAACAAUUUUCUGCUCUUUCCGAGUUGAGACUUAGACAUGCUUGGUAAUAUUUUGCAUUUUCAAUAGUGAAAUGGCGGUAACUAGUUGUAGCUAGGUUGAGUUUCAUCGUUGCCUUUGUAACAAACAAUCCUAGUUAAGGUAGUAAAUAAGUUUAAACCUUCUGUUAUGUCCCUGAGGCAGCAAAAGAAGUGGAUUUAGAACUAGAAUUAUUCAUGCACUUUAUUUUAUUUUAUUUUAAAAUCUAUUAAAA
rnacentral:misc_RNA from 1 species